rfam:Bacteroidetes bacterium GWA2_30_7 gwa2_scaffold_2461, whole genome shotgun sequence.
AUAAUGUGGAGGCCAGAAACCACUUAAAAAAAACGGAGCGUAACUGAAAAGCUAAUAGAGUAGGAUAAAU